rnacentral:rRNA from 1 species
AUGGGGGAAACCCUGAUCCAGCGAUGCCGCGUGAGUGAUGAAGGCCUUCGGGUUGUAAAACUCUUUCGACGGGGACGAUAAUGACGGUACCCGUAGAAGAAGCUCCGGCUAACUUCGUGCCAGCAGCCGCGGUAAUACGAAGGGGGCUAGCGUUGUUCGGAAUUACUGGGCGUAAAGCGCGCGCAGGCGGUCCUUCAAGUCAGGGGUGAAAGCCCAGAGCUCAACUCUGGAAUUGCCUUUGAAACUGCAGGACUUGAGUAUGAGAGAGGUGAGUGGAAUUCCCAGUGUAGAGGUGAAAUUCGUAGAUAUUGGGAAGAACACCGGUGGCGAAGGCGGCUCACUGGCUCAUAACUGACGCUCAGGCGCGACAGCGUGGGGAUCAAACAGGAUUAGAUACCCUGGUAGUCCACGCCGUAAACGAUGAACGCUAGCCGUUGGCGAGCUUGCUCGUCAGUGGCGCAGCUAACGCAUUAAGCGUUCCGCCUGGGGAGUACGGCCGCAAGGUUGAAACUCAAAGGAAUUGACGGGGGCCCGCACAAGCGGUGGAGCAUGUGGUUUAAUUCGACGCAACGCGCAGAACCUUACCAGGGUUUGACAUCCCGAGACGGCCGGUGAAAGCCGGUUUCCCGCAAGGGCUCGGAGACAGGUGCUGCAUGGCUGUCGUCAGCUCGUGCCGUGAGAUGUUGGGUUAAGUCCCGCAACGAGCGCAACCCUCGCCUUUAGUUGCCAUCAUUCAGUUGGGCACUCUAGAGGGACCGCCGGCGACAAGCCGGAGGAAGGUGGGGAUGACGUCAAGUCCUCAUGGCCCUUACACCCUGGGCUACACACGUGCUACAAUGGCGGUGACAGUGAGCAGCUAGUCCGCGAGGACAUGCUAAUCUCAAAAAACCGUCCCAGUUCAGAUUGCACUCUGCAACUCGGGUGCAUGAAGGUGGAAUCGCUAGUAAUCGCAGAACAGCAGGCUGCGGUGAAUACGUUCCCGGGCCUUGUACACACCGCCCGUCACACCAUGGGAGUUGGUUCUACCUGAAGACGGUGCGC